AGGGGUUUUCGGAGGAUUAACCUCGCGAGGCCUCGAGGAUUUGGAGACGCCGCCGCUCGACUCGUGAAGACGCCGCCGCCCCACUCCUCUCUCCGCCAUCCAGUGCCUCCCCAAGACACCGCCGCCCGACGCCUCGACGCCGGCGUACCUCGUCCGGCGUAUUGGACUUCUCUCCGGUGCCUCGCCGGUGCUGGACGGUUUCAACCAGGGCCAUGACUGCCGCAGUACGCCGACAAACUACGCUCCUCUGUCCCUAGGCGCUCAAGCACAUGGACAUCGUUGAGUGCGUCCCGCAGACGCCAGUACGCAUCGCACCAUUGCCGCACCGAGAGUUCGUCGACGCCGAUCUGACAGAUAUGAGGACAAAGGCAGCAGGUGCUCUACUGACCUCAUUAAGAUAAAGGGUAGCAGGUUCAGUAUUUGUCGAAAAUUCUUUCUCUUGUUAAUUGGUCGUGUCCCUGUGUAUAUAUAUCUAGUGACUGUAUGUCUAAUUGUCUUCAAUUCAUGGGUUACCAUGACCUGAAUUUGUCAAUCACGUGUGAAUAAAAUUAAUGGAGAAGGGAUUCAUUCUUCUUCAGACCCUGUUUCUUUCUUUCUGAUUGAGUGAAUGGAUAAUGGUGUGGAUGUGCCUUUCUGAAUGAAUGUGCACUUUUAAAAUCAAAUGCUUACCCAUGCACAAGGUGCAGCAUUAAUAUGAAUUAAACUACUCUUUUUUUGGUUCACAUGUACUCUCAUGACCAAAUUACAAGCAGUUUUGCAUAUAAUAAAGAUGCAGAUCUUUCAAAGUGCAGGGGCUGGAGGAAUUUGACAUGAUUUCAAAUAGUGCAGUAGCAAGCAUGGAAGCAGUCACACAAGCUUAACCUUUUUUUUCUGUACUUGUGUAGUACAGGGAUUUGGCUUUCGUCCCAAAAAAAGGAAUUUCGGCUGAAAUUCGCACUGCUCGUGGGCCCGGUAUUAGUACUAACCGGUCCAAAAUUUCGGCCUUUUUUGAAUGUUCAGCAGCGAUGCUUGUCCAUCAUUGCUGCAUCUGCGUGGCGGUGCUCGGAGCAUGGCUGCUGUUAAGCGUGGUGGCUUAUUAUUUUUUCAUAUAAUGGGCUUGUUCUCGAGCGUUGAAACCUCAACUCUUCAUAAGUUAUGAUGAUGACCAUUCUGUAGCUUAGCAUACAUAAUUUUGCCUACAAACUUUUGCUUUUGUGUUGUCACUCUCAUAAGACCUGGAGUACUAGAACAUAGGUUGGCCUAUUUAAGCUUUGUCACUCUCAUUUUGCUUUUGUUUAAUAAUCAGGUUCCCAGGCAACCAGAGAAGCAAGAUUAAACAAUCUGGACAAACUUUUGGUCGUUCAAAAACUGGAUGAUGAUGACAUCAUUAAGAGCAAUUCUUCUGCAUGACAACAUUAUUCUCAACGUUGCUUGGGCUGUAAUAAUAUAACUGAUUGUGAGCUAUUGCACAAGUCAUGUGUUCCAUUAUGUUUGUUGCAAAAUUAUGGUGUUGCUGUGAAAGAUCAUGGAUGAGAUAUUUUUUAUUCCAAGUCAUGCUGUUAUGAGAAAUCAUGUUGUUACUGUGAUAUACUUGAUAUUGUUGUGAUGAGAUAUUGGUUCGAA